CUGGGUAGCUCAGUUGGUAGAGCACCGGAUUCAUACCCCGGCGGUCGUGGGUUCGACUCCCGCCCC
rnacentral:tRNA from 1 species